rnacentral:lncRNA from 1 species
GGUUAUGUUUCAGGUGUUGGAGCAUCAUCCAGCAUAAACACAAAAGGGCUUGGACAUCCCUAUGCUCAGCAACCAGGUGACUGUAUAUUUCCCAGCUCAUGUCAAGACUGAAAGAAGGUUUAAAUGUGGUCUGACACAUGGGACAGGGUUUAAGAAAUGAUUGUAAUUCACAAAUUUGUUGUAUCUGUAUAUAUUUACAGGUUAUGGACAAGGAGGCUACCUUGGAGCAGGAUAUGGAAAAGGAGGUGUGUUUGAAUAGGAAUGAAGUGAUUAGUUAAAUCCAUAUGUUAAAUCGGGAUGUAUAUCAACUCAUGAAUGGUGGUGAAUAAAGUCUUUAGUUUGAAUUGAUUUUAGUCUAAUAUUUUUCUCAGGAAAUGCAGGUUUUGGUUCCAAAUCAGGUAGGCAUCAGCUGUUACUCUCAGUGGGCUAUAAGAUGAUGCAGUAUACUCCAGUUAUGCUACAACUGUAGGACACUGAAGGAUUUCAUGAUAUCUGUUUGCAGGAUUCAGAAAUGGCUAUAAUGCUGGUGUGCAGCCCGACUACGCCAGUAAGCAGAUAAUUAUUUUAUAAUACAGCUGUUCUAAAACUCAAAAUUCUGUUUGAAUUCCAUUUCCUCUAUUGUUUUAGGUCUUGUACCUGCAGCUAACAGCAAAUCAGGUACUUUAUGGGUGGUAAAUGAGGUACACCGGUAAAAAACUUUAGCUGAGAGUUAGAGUUAAAAUAAAGAGUUAAGCAAGACAAUUUAAAACAAGUUGAAUCCUGUUGACUAAGUAGAGCAGUAUGAAGCUCAUUAUCACCUUAUUAAAGUUUUGUGGUGCACAAUUAAUGCAGCAAAUGCACGUUUCAUCAUUACAGGAAUGAGCGGGGUGCCAUUUGGUGGUCUGUCUGCAGGAAUGGGCGCAGAGAAAAUGAACACAAAAUAUGGCAUUGGCGGGUUACAGUUUGAUGGACAGCAGUUCAAUACUGGGAUUAAUGGAGCAGGAAGUUAUGGUGCGUCAUGGUUAUAUUAUUGCACUCCACUGUUCUUUCAAGUCUGUAUUGACCAUGAAUGCCCUGUCAAUUCUAUCCAGGUUAUGGUCAAAGCCCACAUGGACCCACUGGCCAAGGCAAAACAUCAGGAAAAUAUGGUCUAUAACUUAUUGCAAAUGAUGUGUGGAUUUAUGUGGUCUUUCAUGUUGCCCAUGAUUUUCAUUUAAAGUAUAUUUAAAUGGAUUAAAAACACUUGCAGGUGGUGUUGGUGCCGGUGCCAGCGUGGGGGGCAGUCCUGGAAAAUACGGUCAGUGUUAUCAGGAAAAAAAUGUUUUUAUUAUUGUAAUUGCGAAGCCAAAAGCUACACAUGAAUGUGCAGAAACUUUUGUAUAAUACUGUUUCUUUUGAGAGGCCAUCUUGUGUGAGAGGUCAGGUUAUUUCAGACCUUUCUCCUCCCUCUCUUCUCAGGAUUCGGUGGAUUUCACAACAGUCAACAGGUUUUCGGUCUUGGACCUACUGCAAAUGGAAACUAUGGUGAAAUCAGUUUACCUCAAUUUAGCACCUAUUUUGUGUUGCCACAGCAACCACUGACAUAUUGUUUCUCGUCUACAGGUUAUGGAAGAAUGUCCUAUGAACCUGAACCAGCUGUAAUGGGCCCUGAAGCUCCUGGAAAUUAUGGUAUAAAAUAACAUUUAGGAAGGUUUUUAAGCACACUUGGCAUCAUGUACUCAACAAGAAAGCACACAACUAUCUUUAAAUUGAUUCAGUGAUUUCAGUAAAGUAUCUUCAGUAAAGCUUUAUAGAUGUGAUGUGAUGAUACUGUAUAUAGUUGUGAACAAGUUAUUGCUUCAUUUUCUUCUAGGUCUGACUGCAUCACAAUAUCAGCCCGAACCCCUUGGACUUGGACACAAUGGGCAAUUAAGGAGUAAUUAUGGUGAGAUUUAAGUAAACAUAACUGUAAACUUUCCUUUCAAGUCCUCUUAAAACCCACCCAGUUUAUCAAAUCUCCAUCUGUAUAUGUUG